AACGAACGCUGGCGGCGUGCCUAACACAUGCAAGUCGAACGGAAUUUGAGAGCUUGCUCUUAAAUUUAGUGGCGCACGGGUGAGUAACGCGUGGAUAAUCUGCCUGAUACUCUGGGAUAACAUCUCGAAAGGGGUGCUAAUACCGGAUAAGCCCACGGGCUCUUCGGAGUUUGCGGGAAAAGGGGGGGACCUUCGGGCCUCCCGAUAUCAGAUGAGUCCGCGUCCCAUUAGCUAGUUGGUGGGGUAAAGGCCUACCAAGGCGACGAUGGGUAGCUGGUCUGAGAGGAUGAUCAGCCACACUGGAACUGAGACACGGUCCAGACUCCUACGGGAGGCAGCAGUGGGGAAUUUUGCGCAAUGGGGGAAACCCUGACGCAGCAACGCCGCGUGAGUGAUGAAGGCCUUUGGGUCGUAAAGCUCUGUCAGAGGGAAAGAAAUGUGAAUAGUUAAUAGCUGUUUCACUUGACGGUACCCUCAAAGGAAGCACCGGCUAACUCCGUGCCAGCCGCCGCGGUAAUAC
rnacentral:rRNA from 1 species